ensembl:miRNA
CAUGUUCCAUACUGCACUUCUGUGAAGAUGCUAGUCAGCAAGUGCAUUUUGGAAUGUGACAUGU